rnacentral:rRNA from 1 species
UGGGGAAUUUUGCACAAUGGGGGAAACCCUGAUGCAGCGACGCCGCGUGAUUUAGAAGGCCUUCGGGUUGUAAGAAUCUUUUCUAUGGGAAGAAAAUGACAGUACCAUAGGAAUAAGGACCGGCUAAUUACGUGCCAGCAGCCGCGGUAAUACGUAAGGUCCGAGCGUUGUCCGGAAUCAUUGGGCGUAAAGGGUACGUAGGCGGGUAAGCAAGUUAGAAGUGAAAUCCUAUAGCUCAACUAUAGUAAGCUUUUAAAACUGCUCAUCUUGAGGUAUGGAAGGGAAAGUGGAAUUCCUAGUGUAGCGGUGAAAUGCGCAGAUAUUAGGAGGAAUACCGGUGGCGAAGGCGACUUUCUGGCCAUAACCUGACGCUGAGGUACGAAAGCGUGGGUAGCAAACAGG